rnacentral:rRNA from 1 species
UACGUAGGGCGCAAGCGUUAUCCGGAAUUAUUGGGCGUAAAGAGCUCGUAGGCGGUUUGUCGCGUCUGCCGUGAAAGUCCGGGGCUCAACUCCGGAUCUGCGGUGGGUACGGGCAGACUAGAGUGAUGUAGGGGAGACUGGAAUUCCUGGUGUAGCGGUGAAAUGCGCAGAUAUCAGGAGGAACACCGGUGGCGAAGGCGGUUCUCUGGGCAUUACCUGACGCUGAGGAGCGAAAGCCAGGGGAGCAAACGGG